rnacentral:rRNA from 1 species
CCUACGGGCGGCUGCAGUGGGGAAUAUUGGACAAUGGGCGAAAGCCUGAUCCAGCCAUGCCGCGUGUGUGAAGAAGGCCUUCGGGUUGUAAAGCACUUUCAGUGGGGAAGAAAGCCUUGGGGCUAAUACCCUCGAGGAAGGACAUCACCCACAGAAGAAGCACCGGCUAACUCCGUGCCAGCAGCCGCGGUAAUACGGAGGGUGCGAGCGUUAAUCGGAAUUACUGGGCGUAAAGCGCGCGUAGGCGGUCUGAUAAGCCGGUUGUGAAAGCCCCGGGCUCAACCUGGGAACGGCAUCCGGAACUGUCAGGCUAGAGUGCAGGAGAGGAGGGUAGAAUUCCCGGUGUAGCGGUGAAAUGCGUAGAGAUCGGGAGGAAUACCAGUGGCGAAGGCGGCCUUCUGGACUGACACUGACGCUGAGGUGCGAAAGCGUGGGUAGCAAACAGGAUUAGAUACCCGAGUAGUC